AAGCGCGAUAGCUGAUGCGAAAUGCAAUCAUUGAAAAUUCGAAUGCACAUUGCGCCAUUGGUCACAGUACCUUUGGCACACCUGGCUCAGGGUUGGUAUCAUAAAACGAAUGCAAUCGUAUUUGUUAACUAGAGGAUCUCAGUCAUCCUUCGCGUGUUCGAUCAUUGUCCCCCUCCAGAGUGGGCUUUGUUCGGAUAAUCCAUCAAUAGUGGUGUUGUCUCUUGGUCAGUAAGUAUAUAGACAUAGUGGGUCUGAAUUUUCCUACUUACGCUUCUGAACACCUCGAGUGCGGCAUCCGACUUUGGAAUUCAACCUGAGCUCAGGUGUGAGUACCCGCUGAACUUAA
rnacentral:misc_RNA from 1 species